GAUUUCUGGUCUGACAUGCCUGGCCCGCCGGGGUUACCCGCGUGAGUGCCGGUGCGCGUCUACCAUCCUUCCAGAAAACGGCCUUACCCUUCACUGGGCCGAGGUCGCGAUCUGGAUCUUUUACUUUGAAAAAAUUAGAGUGUUUAAAGCAGGCUUUUGCUAUGAAUACAUUAGCAUGGAAUAAUAAUCUAGGACUUCGGUUCUAUUUUGUUGGUUUCUAUAACUGAAGUAAUGAUUGAUAGGGAUAGUUGGGGGUGCUAGUAUUGGCCGGCCAGAGGUGAAAUUCUUGGAUUCGGUCAAGACUAACUUAUGCGAAAGCAUU
rnacentral:rRNA from 1 species